AUUGAACGCUGGCGGCAGGCCUAACACAUGCAAGUCGAGCGAGCGGCGGACGGGUGAGUAAUGUCUGGGAAACUGCCCGAUGGAGGGGGAUAACUACUGGAAACGGUGGCUAAUACCGCAUACCAUCGGAUGUACCCAGAUGGGAUUAGCUAGUAGGUGGGGUAAAGGCUCACCUAGGCGACGAUCCCUAGCUAGUCUGAGAGGAUGACCAGCCACACUGGGACUGAGACACGGUCCAGACUCCUACGGGAGGCAGCAGUGGGGAAUAUUGCACAAUGGGCGCAAGCCUGAUGCAGCCAUGCCGCGUGUAUGAAGAAGGCCUUAGGGUUGUAAAGUACUUUCAGCGGGGAGGCGUUACCCGCAGAAGAAGCACCGGCUAACUCCGUGCCAGCAGCCGCGGUAAUUC
rnacentral:rRNA from 1 species